CGGGAUAUAGCGUAGUUUGGUAGCGCGUCUGGUUUGGGACUAGAAGGUCAUGUGUUCGAAUCACAUUGUUCCGA
rnacentral:tRNA from 1 species